GACGAACGCUGGCGGCGUGCUUAACACAUGCAAGUCGAACGGAAAGGCCCUGCUUUUGUGGGGUGCUCGAGUGGCGAACGGGUGAGUAACACGUGAGUAACCUGCCCUUGACUUUGGGAUAACUUCAGGAAACUGGGGCUAAUAACGGAUAGGAGCUCCUGCUGCAUGGUGGGGGUUGGAAAGUUUCGGCGGUUGGGGAUGGACUCGCGGCUUAUCAGCUUGUUGGUGGGGUAGUGGCUUACCAAGGCUUUGACGGGUAGCCUGCCUGAGAGGGUGACCGGCCACGUUGGGACUGAGAUAAGGCCCGGACUCCUACGGGAGGCAGCAGUGGGGAAUAUUGCACAAUGGGCGGAAGCCUGAUGCAGCAACGCCGCGUGCGGGAUGACGGCCUUCGGGUUGUAAACCGCUUUCGCCUGUGACGAAGCGUGAGUGACGGUAAUGGGUAAAGAAGCACCGGCUAACUACGUG
rnacentral:rRNA from 1 species